rnacentral:rRNA from 1 species
AUGAGGUGGAAACGGACAGAGCUGGCGUAUCUUACCUGUAUUCAGCCUUGGGCUUUCGGGCGCUAGGUCGUUGCUCUCCAGAUUGGGACUUUGGCUUAACCGCUCGGGAGCUUGUGGUGCAUUUGCAGGUUGUGGGCGCCGAGGCGCUCGGGGCAGCUGCAUGAGCUCGGUUUUGAGGCCAGCCCUUUACGGGGUCUGUUACCCGGACCGGAGGAGUGUUGUUUGCGCUGAGUGGUGGUGGGCGAUGGAAUCGGGUUCUUGUGGGUGCCGAGCUUGCAGCUGGCGGCGGUCGCUUGCGACACGUGCCGGAGGUCAGUUCGGUCCUGCUUGAGCUCACACGUGCCCGUCCUCGGUGUAAAAGCCGGUCAUCUGUCCGACCCGUCUUGAAACACGGACCAAGGAGUUUAGCGUGUGCGCGAGUCAUUGGGUGUUGAAAACCUAAGGGCGCAAUGAAAGUGAAGUCUCCCUUGUGGAGCUGAUGUGCGAUCCUGGUGCACUGCGGUGCCCAGGCGCAGCAUAGUCCCGUCCCGAUCGCUUGCGGUGGGGCGGAGACAGAGCGUACGCGCUGAGACCCGAAAGAUGGUGAACUAUUCCUGAGCAGGAUGAAGCCAGAGGAAACUCUGGUGGAAGUCCGAAGCGAUUCUGACGUGCAAAUCGAUCG